UACAGAGGCCUCAAGCGGUGUUCGGAAUUACUGGGCGUAAAGGGAAUGUAGGUGGCGAUGCAAGUCAGAUGUGAAAGCCCUGGGCUUAACCCGGGAACUGCAUUUGAUACUGCGUUGCUGGAACGCAGGAGAGGAAAGUGGAAUUCCUGGUGUAGGGGUGAAAUCCGUAGAUAUCAGGAGGAAUACCAACGGCGUAGGCAACUUUCUGGCCUGUUGUUGACACUGAGAUUCGAAAGCAUGGGUAGCAAACAGG
rnacentral:rRNA from 1 species